CACGGCUAUUGGCUUGUUCCUACUGUGGCGUCAUUAGAGCCCGGCCUCCGGCUGGGGCCACCCAGGCAACCGAUAUACACAGAGAACCACGUGGAGGAAAAGCACGCGAGUUUGGAGCGGGUGGAGCAGGAACAGAGGUGGACUGGAAUGUCACACGACGGGGCAGCUGGAAGGGCACCACUGAGUUCAGUACUUCAAAAUUGCCGUGCUCUACCUCUCCCCAGUGCACAAAAACACUCUCCACACCAAGCUGCUGCUGCUGGGGGAUGGAGGGAUGGCGUCAGCGAUUCAAGACUGUUUUUCCUACCUGUUCAGCACUUCUUUCAGCGAUAUGAAGUUAAAUCCAGGCCAAGUUCCCACCUGGUGGGAAGCACUGUGCAGGUUCGUGGGGAUGCAGCCCUGCACAGCCCAGACUGGACUCCUUCCCCAUGGAACUCACAACACACGGGAGAGGCAGAGAGAUCCAAGCGCACAGAAAAACACAAGAAGAUUCAGCCCUGUCAUCUUGUGCAAAGAGGCAUCCCCUUCUGACCAUGAAGGGUUAACCGCUGUAGAAAUUGCCCAUCUACCCAGCACUUUGGGAGGCCACGGCGAGCGAUCACCUGAGGUCAGGAGUUCGAGAUCAGCCCAGCCAACAUGGUGAAACCCUGUCUCUACUAAAAAUACAAAAAUUAGCCAGGUGUGGUAGUGCUCGCCUGUAAUUUCAGCUACCUGGGAGGCUGAGGCAGGAGGAUGGCAUGAACCCGGGAGGCGUUGCAGUGAGCUGAGAUUGAGCCAUUGUACUCCAGCCUGGGUGACAAGAGUGAGAUUCUGGCUCAAAAAAAAAAAAAAAAAGGACAAAGAAACUAUUCAUCUAAUGCAAACAACUGAACACUGGAUGAAAUAUAGGGCUUGGUGUGAUGGCUCACGCUUAUAAUCCCAGCACUUCGGGAGGCCGAGGCGGGUGGAUCGCCUGAGGUCAGGAGUUUGAGACCAGCCUGAUCAAUGGUGAAACCCUGUCUCUACUGAAAGUACAAAACUUAGCUGGGCGUGGUGGCACGUGCCUGUAGUCCCAGCUACUCGGGAGGCUGAGACAGGAGAACUGCUUGAACCUGGGAGGUGGAGGUUGCAGUGAGCCGAGAUCGUGCCACUGCACUUCAGCCUAGGUGACAGAGCAAGACUCUGUCUCAAAAAAGAAAAAAUAAAAAUAAAAAUAAAAGAAAGAAAGAAAUAUAAGAAAUGACUGUUUCCAGACAGUGGGCAUCAGGUGGCAUAGGGUGGUAGGCCCCAAGAGAAGGGAAACAAGUUAGGUGACCCCACCCCAACACAGUACAGCAGCUUACUGCCUGGAGAAAGUUGGCAGAGCCAGGUGGUUGAGUUGGUGAGACGGAGAUUGGGUUGGAGGAGGCUAGAAUCUGUGAGGAAGAAUCCUGGGGAGAAGGGAGCUGCAGGCAGAGUUCGGGAAGCCUGUAGAAAGGUCCUCAAAACUUUGGCUGAACACUGAGCUGACAGAAAGCAGUAGGCUGAACAAUUAAUUCCUGGAGCUUACAUGCGGCUGUGGCUCAGAUUCCCACCAGUGAGUGGAGAGUGCUUGCAGUACCUGGUGCAUUGGAUAGAGGCCUCCUGAAGAUGCUACUGUAGCCCUGACGCCUGUCCUGAACUCAGUCUAACAGAGCUUAAAAACAAGCAUUAAAAGGAUCAAAGCAAUUCCAAAUAACUGAGCCAGAACAAAGUCCAACACUCUUUAAAAGAAUAGAAUAAGAUCCAGAACUCAGCAAUGUAAAAUUCACAAUAUCCAUCAUCUAAUAAAAAAAUUAAGUCAUGCAAAGAAGCAGGAAAAUACGGCUUAUAACCAGAAGAAAAAUCAAUCAACAGAAACAGACCCAAAAAUCAACAGAAACAGAAAAAUGAUGAAAUUAGCAGAAAGGAUACUAAAGCAGUGAUUAUAGAUUAUGUUCCAUAUGCUCAGAAAUGCAGAGGAAAACAUGAACAUGAUGAGAAGAGAGAUGGAAGAUUUAAGAAAAACAAAUGUAAUUUAUAAAGAUGAAAAUAGAAUAUCUGAAAUAAAAAUACUGUUGAACAAAUAAAUGAUUUUAUUUCUGCUGUUGCUCCUAUCAAAACCAUAUGGGUCAGGGGUGGGGGAGAGCGAC
rnacentral:lncRNA from 1 species